GAGUAAAAACAAGACACAAAAUCAGUGAGUUAGCCCUAGCACGCUGCACGCCUCCCUUCUCCCUCCAAUCUCCAUCGACAUUCAUCUCCACGCUAAAGGAGGGACUUCAGGCGACGCUAGCUUCAGCCCACCACGCUCUGGCACACCCCGACAACGACGCUACUCCAAGCGACACUGAAAUCCCUCGCAUACCACCACCUCACCUCGGCGCUGCUCAUUCUAAGAGGCUGACACAUAGAAAGAAAGAGAGGAAAAAUGUCACAGUCACUUGAGCUGCUACUGAUACAAUUUUUGAUGCCUGACAAUGAUGCUCGAAGGCAAGCUGAGGAUCAAAUUAAGCGCUUAUCGAAGGAUCCUCAAGUAGUUCCUGCGUUGGUUCAUCAUCUUCGCACUGCUAAGACUCCUAAUGUUCGUCAGCUUGCUGCUGUUUUGCUGCGAAAGAAGAUUACUGGCCAUUGGGCCAAGCUUUCUCCUCAAUUACGUCAACUCGUUAAACAGUCACUCAUUGAGAGCAUCACCCUCGAGCAUAGUCCACCAGUGAGACGAGCAAGUGCAAAUGUUGUCAGUGUCAUCGCAAAGUAUGCUGUUCCUGCUGGCGAGUGGCCAGACUUGUUACCAUUUCUUUUUCAAUGCAGUCAGAGUGUGCAAGAGGAUCACAGGGAGGUUUCAUUGAUUCUCUUCAGCUCGUUGACUGAAACAAUAGGGGAUACAUUUCGGCCACAUUUUGCAGACCUUCAAAGUCUAUUGCUAAAAUGUUUGCAGGAUGAGGCAAGCAGUCGAGUUAGAGUUGCAGCACUCAAGGCUGUGGGGUCUUUUCUGGAGUUUACAAAUGAUGCAACUGAAGUGGUCAGAUUCAGGGACUUUAUACCUGGAAUUUUGCAUGCUGCAAGACAGUGUCUUGCUUCUGGUGAAGAAGACGUGGCUGUAAUUGCCUUCGAAAUAUUUGAUGAAUUGAUCGAGUCACCUGCACCACUUCUUGGGGAUUCUGUUAAAUCAAUAGUGCAGUUUUCUCUCGAGGUUUGCUCCAAUCAGAACUUGGAUGUGAGCACCCGCCAUCAGGCUAUUCAAAUAAUCUCCUGGCUGGCGAAAUUCAAGUAUAAUUCUCUUAAAAAACACAAGUUGGUCAUGCCAGUUUUGCAUGUCAUCUGCCCUUUGCUUGCAGAAUCAAGUGACAGGGAUGAUGAUGAAGACCUUGCCCCAGAUCGAGCUGCUGCAGAAGUUAUUGAUACAAUGGCUUUGAACCUCCCAAAGCAAGUUUUCCAACCAGUCUUUGAAUUUGCAUCAAUAAGCUGUCAAAAUGUUGAUCCAAAGUUUCGUGAAGCCGCAGUGACAGCUCUGGGAGUUAUAUCUGAGGGGUGCUUGGAUUUGAUGAAAAAUGAUUUGAAGCCUGUGCUUCAUAUAGUUUUGGGGUCUUUAAGGGACCCAGAGCAGAUGGUGAGAGGUGCUGCUUCAUUUGCGUUAGGUCAGUUUGCUGAGUACCUGCAGCCUGAGAUUAUAUCACACUAUGAAAGUGUGCUGCCCUGUAUAUUAAAUGCAUUGGAGGAUGCAUCUAAUGAAGUAAAGGAAAAGGCAUACUACGCUUUGGCUGCCUUUUGUGAGAAUAUGGGCGAGGAAAUCCUUCCCUUUAUUGAUCCUUUGAUGGGAAAACUUCUGGCAGCUCUUGAAAGCAGUCCUCGGAAUUUACAAGAGACUUGCAUGUCUGCAAUUGGUUCUGUUGCAUCUGCAGCAGAGCAAGCUUUCUUACCAUAUGCUGAGAGGGUUCUUGAGCUGAUGAAAAAUUUCAUGGUUCUGACUAAUGAUGAGGAUCUCCGUUCACGAGCUAGGGCGACUGAGUUAGUAGGAAUAGUAGCAAUGUCUGUUGGGAGAGCAAGAAUGGAGCCAAUAUUGCCACCUUAUAUUGAAGCAGCAAUUGCUGGUUUCGGGUUAGAAUUUAGUGAGCUGCGCGAAUAUACGCAUGGGUUUUUCAGCAAUGUGGCUGAGAUAUUGGAUGAUGGAUUUGUGAAGUACCUUCCACAUGUUGUGCCCUUAGCAUUCUCCUCCUGCAAUCUUGAUGAUGGUUCAGCAGUUGACAUUGAUGAAUCUGAUGGUGAUGAAAAUGUUAAUGGAUUUGGUGGAGUUUCAUCAGAUGAUGAAGCUCAUGAUGAACCAAGAGUUAGAAAUAUCAGCGUAAGGACAGGAGUCUUAGAUGAAAAGGCAGCCGCAACUCAGGCCCUAGGACUGUUUGCUCUUCAUACGAGAAGCUUUUAUUCACCAUACUUGGAGGAAUCUAUAAAAAUCUUGGUACGACAUUCUGGGUACUUUCAUGAGGAUGUAAGGCUUCAGGCCGUUAUUUCCUUGAAAAAUAUACUCAUAGCAGCACAGGCAGUGUUUCAAGGUCAUCCGGAUGGUUCAACAAAGGCCAAAGAAGUUUUUGAUACUGUCCUGAAAAUUUAUAUUAAGACUAUGACGGAGGAUGAUGACAAGGAAGUUGUGGCUCAAGCUUGUAUGGGUAUAGCAGACAUCAUCAACGAUACAGGAUACACGGCUAUAGAGGCUUAUAUGCCGCAGCUAGUUGAUGCAACACUAGUGCUGCUUAAUGAGCAGUCGGUUUGUCAGCAGAUUGAGUCAGACAGUGACAUUGAUGAAGAUGACACUGAGCAUGAUGAGGUCUUAAUGGAUGCAGUCUCUGACCUCCUUCCUGCAUUUGCCAAAUCUAUGGGCCCUCAUUUUGAACCCAUAUUAGGCAAAUUAUUUAGUCCCCUGAUGAAAUUUGCGAAAGCUUCACGUCCACCACAAGAUCGGACCAUGGUAGUUGCAACACUUGCAGAAGUUGCGCAGAACAUGGGUCCUCCUAUUGCAGGCUAUGUUGAUGCGGUGAUGCCAUUGGUAUUGAAAGAAUUGCCAUCUUCUGAUGCAACAAAUCGUAGAAAUGCUGCCUUUUGCGUUGGGGAGUUUUGCAGAAAUGGUGGUGAUGUGGCUUUGAAAUAUUAUGGUGACAUCCUGAGGGGACUCCAUCCACUUUUUGGUGAUAUCGAACCAGAUAAUGCUGUGAGAGAUAAUGCAGCAGGUGCUGUGGCGAGGAUGAUUAUGGUGCAUCCUGAGGCUAUCCCAUUAAAUCAGGUACUCCCUGUUUUCCUCAAAGCUCUUCCUAUUAAAGAAGAUCAUGAGGAGUCAACUGCUGUUUAUAGCUGUGUUUGUAAUCUUGUUCUGUCAUCCCAUCCUCAGAUGUUGUCAUUGGUUCCGGACUUGGUGAAUCUUUUUGCUGAAGUUGCAUUAUCACCUCGUGAGACUAGCGAAGUUAAAGCCUUGAUAGGAAGGGCCUUUUCACAUCUUAUCUCAAUGUAUGGCAAUCGAAUGCAGCCCAUAGUGAGUUCGCUCUCUCCUGCGCAUGCUAAUGCUCUUGCUUCACUGGCUCCAAAUAGUUGAUUUCUCUUGCGGCAUUCAGAGAUAAUGUCUUGUCUGGUCCUAAAAAUCUAAAAUAUUGAUGUACGAUGGCCAAGGCCGAGGUGGGAGUCUUUCACCUCUCCCUCUCAGUUCAAAUAUCAUCCACCCCUCUUUCAAAAGAAUUAUUAAGCACCAAGCAUGGGAGAGCCUAUGCUACGUCCACGUUUCAAGCCCAAGGGGGCUUUCAUGUGAAGGGGAGUGAUAGAGUAUAUAAUAUAUUCUUGAGCCUCAACCAUCAACUUAAACUUUCCUCUAACAGUGGUUGACAACAACUAGUAUUAUAUCAAUUUGGAGGGAUGAUUUGAACAAGUUAAAUACUUUGUAUAUAAUUAAUCUCAUCAUUGAGUUUGCUCUAUUCGACUUAUUUUGUACAUGUCUAGGAAUAUGUCUUUAAUUUUUCAUUAUCUAUUUACGAAUUUUUAUUUGUGGGUGACAACCAACUAGUAUUACAUCAAUUUGGAGGGAUGAUAAUUUUGUACAAGUGAAAUACUAUGUAUAAAUUUAUUCCCAUCAUUGGGUUUGUUCUAUUUGAUUUAAUUUUUACUUCUCUGAA